AUUGAACGCUGGCGGCAGGCCUAACACAUGCAAGUCGAGCGGGGUUUUCGGACCUAGCGGCGGACGGGUGAGUAAUGCGUAGGAAGCUACCCGAUAGAGGGGGAUACCAGUUGGAAACGACUGUUAAUACCGCAUAAUGUCUACGGACCAAAGUGUGGGACCUUCGGGCCACAUGCUAUCGGAUGCGCCUACGUGGGAUUAGCUAGUUGGUGGGGUAAUGGCUCACCAAGGCGACGAUCCCUAGCUGGUUUGAGAGGAUGAUCAGCCACACUGGAACUGAGACACGGUCCAGACUCCUACGGGAGGCAGCAGUGGGGAAUAUUGGACAGUGGGCGCAAGCCUGAUCCAGCCAUGCCGCGUGUGUGAAGAAGGCCUUCGGGUUGUAAAGCACUUUCAGCGAGGAGGAAGGGAGUUGUGUUAAUAGCACAGCUUUUUGACGUUACUCGCAGAAGAAGCACCGGCUAACUCUGUGCCAGCAGCCGCGGUAACAC
rnacentral:rRNA from 1 species